AAUUUGAAAAAGGAAUGCGCUCGUUUUUCGCCGUUAAAUGUUGCAGCCUAAUUUUGGAUCGAGAAUUAAGUGCGACGAAGAUGGCCGUUAAUAAUAGUUCUACUACUUUAAGAACACGGUUCAGAUUUGGAUAACGACUUCGAAGGCAUUCGCAGGAGACCAAACAGAGAAAGAGAGGGAGACACAAAACCACCUGUCUCGGUGUCACACAUGAGGAGUUGAGGAGGAGAUGAAGUCAGUGAAUAUUACAUGUACCUGGCCUGGGGGAGUUUCCAGAAGAAGGCCCAGAAUCGCUAGAUGCCAGGAGUGGAGAUCCUUCGUUGCUGCCGUACAUGAUAGGAGGCAUCGGGCAGUAGAUGCUGUAAUUUGAAACGGAAGGUGUCCUGCCAAUAAAUUUUCAUCCCACCUGAACUGCCUUGCCUGCCUGCACCCAGUCAUCUGUUCCUGAGCAUUUUCAUUUUCCUCUAUUUUUCAUCAUCGUUUGUUUCGGCCUGUAUGAAGUGAAUUUCACAUUGAUUGGUGGAGCUGCUAAGUUGGCAUUACAGGGCCACGCCGGGGUAUGAUCCUUUGGGUUGAACAUCAUGACUGCUAGUUGGUCGGCAAAGGUGAUGGGAUCGAUCAAUGUCACAUGGAGUAAGAUCGAUACCAAUCUGCUUUGCUACAUUUCGAACAAUCUCAUACGGAUACGGAUAUUAUUGCGACAGGAGUACUGCUCGAUGUGGUCAAGCCUAUUUGACAAAGCAUUAUGGUGUUAGUCAUGUUAUCAGAAACCGAUUUUUCAAAAUCACGGAGUUGCUUCAAUUUAGUAUCGAUAGAUAUUUCAAGAACGUGUAGACUAGUGAGCUUUUCAUCAAGAAUUUCACGCAAUUUAUUUUCGUGCUUAUCCAUGUCAUCAUUGAGUUUUUGUCUCUUGCGUUCCAUUGCCACGGCCACCGCUCUUUGAACGACUGUAUCAAUAUGAUCUAGGUAUGCUGGGCUUUGUUUAGAUCCAGUUAAUGAUGAAGCAGAGGAUUGUGUACAUGCGUUAGCCGAGUGCAAGCGGCCUCUUGAUCUGGUGGAUAUCUUAGACAUGUUAGAGAUUACGUAAUGAUAUAAUUGAAAAGUGGGAUGGGCUGUGCAUCUGCCAACUCACCAGUCAACCAAUUAGAGACGGCCUUCCAAAGUGACACAGCACGAAAAUAUCAAUAUGGGACUGGUCUAGUCAACACAUAGAUCCUGAAAAAACCAUGGAGACCGCAGAUGCAAAAUGACUUCCAUACAUAAAGAUAUGAUGCACAAUCUCCAGUGGGUUCAAAACACUGAACACAUGCUAUGCUGAUACACAGACUAUCAUAAGAACUUUAUCAAGCUAAGGAAAUCUGGUAUGAAAUCUCUCAGCUCACAUAAAAAGCCUACGUAGCUACAUGUAGGGAAGAAAAUGCGUAAUUGCUGAGAAAUGAGCAAAAUAAGCAUGUAAUUCUAUCAAAUGUCCGGUAUUUUUCGAAUCGAUUAUAAUACACUGUCCCACAUAUGCUUUUCUGUGUUUACAGCGAUCAUCAGAAUUAUCGAUUUUAAGUUUAAAAAUUCAUGAUUUUACAAAGAUACAAGUUUACAUUAAUGUACCAGAUGUAGAUUAUGUACAAUAUAUUGACAAUUAACUUUGAUUUUAUAGAUUUUCUCAAGAAAUAAUUGUUUGCUGCAACUACUGUCUUUUCCUUCUAAGUGAUAGUGUAAUACAACAGUUCCACAAACUAUUUUCAUCAGACUUAUUGAUGCAUGAUUCUUUCACCCAAAUGCAAGCUUCCAUAAAUCCUGAAAACUUUGCAACUCGGGUAUUUUUUUUUUACAUACAGACAGUAUAUUUUUUCCUACAUUACAUAGUUGCCUUAAGUUAAUAGCGCACCUCUAGUAGUAACUAUCUUAAAAUGAGUUCGAACAGAAUCCAACAGAAUUACCAGCAAAGUGUAUGUAUAUAUAAAAGAUGUGUGCCAAAAAGCUCGGGAAGAAAAUGUGUAAUUGCUGAGAAAUGAGCAAAAUAAGCAUGUAAUUCUAUCAAACGUCUGGUAUUUUUCAAAUCAAUCAUAAUACACUGUCCUGUCCCACAUAUGCUUUUCUGUGUUAGUGAUCAUCAGAAUUAUUGAUUUUAAGAUCAAAAUUCAUGAUUUUACAAAGAUACAAGUUUACAUUAAUUUACCAGGGCCCCGUCUUACAAAGAGUUAUGAUUGAUCCGAUCAAUCGCAACUAUGGACGGUCAGCAACGUUAACAUCUAUUAAGCAUGUUUGUUCAAAAUAUUUUCUAGCUAUGAUGUAUGUUCAUGCAUUCAUUGUUUUCUCAAAAAUUCGCUGCGUUUCUCUUUGCAUACAAAGGACAUUGUGCAAAUUUUUCGUAGAAAAAAUUAUGACACUGAUGGAUUUCCAUAGAGUUAUGAUUGAUUGGAUCAAUCGUAACUCUUUGUAAGACAGGGCCCAGAUCUAGAUUAUGUACAAUAUUUUGACAAUUAACCUUAAUUUAAAAGACUUUCCGAAGAAAUAAUUGUUUGCUGCAACUACUGUCUUUUACCCCUGGCCCUAAGUGAUAGUGUAAUACAACCCAAACAUUUCAUAAGAAUUAAUGUACAUGUAUGAUUCUUUCACCCAAAUGCGAGCUUCCAUAAAUCCUGAAACUAUUCCAGCUCGGGUAUUUUUUUUUUACAUACAGUAUAUUUUUACCUACAUUACAUAGUUGUCUAAAGUUGAAGGUAUAUUUAAUUACAAUUUCAACGAAAAAGCUUUAUUCUUGGAGAUCAUUAUGCCUCUGUUAUGUAUUAAUGUGUACAUGUAUUUAUACAUGUACAAUUGUAUGUAUUGGUAUAACAAACAUUGUAAUUUCAUUCCUUUGACCCUAAUACUGCAUUUUCAUAGAAAAGUGUUUUUUUUUUUCAAUCUAUUUAGAGUUUUCAACAUUUUGUAUUCCUUUUUUUUUUGCUGGUAAUAUGUUAUGCAACUUUUAUUUAUUAAUAGAAUAUUUGCCACGAUUUCG